GAUGAAGAACGCAGCGAAAUGCGAUAAGUAAUGUGAAUUGCAGAAUUCAGUGAAUCAUCGAAUCUUUGAACGCACAUUGCGCCCGCCAGCAUUCUGGCGGGCAUGUCUGUUCGAGCGUCAUUUCAACCCUCAAGCUCUGCUUGGUGUUGGGGCCCUACGGUUGACGUAGGCCCUUAAAGGUAGUGGCGGACCCUCUCGGAGCCUCCUUUGCGUAGUAACUAACGUCUCGCAUUGGGAUUCGGAGGGACUCUUGCCGUAAAACCCCCAAAUUUUCUAAUGGUUGACCUCGGAUCAGGUAGGAAUACCCGCUGAACUUAAGCAUAUCAAUAAGCGGAGGA
rnacentral:misc_RNA from 1 species